UACGUAGGUCCCGAGCGUUGUUCGGAUUUAUUGGGCGUAAAGCGAGCGCAGGUGGUUUAUUAAGUCUGGUGUAAAAGGCAGUGGCUCAACCAUUGUAUGUAUUGGAAACUGGUAGACUUGAGUGCAGGAGAGGAGAGUGGAAUUCCAUGUGUAGCGGUGAAAUGCGUAGAUAUAUGGAGGAACACCGGUGGCGAAAGCGGCUCUCUGGCCUGUAACUGACACUGAGGCUCGAAAGCGUGGGGAGCAAACAGG
rnacentral:rRNA from 1 species